AUUCAGCUGACGAGUCCCAAAUAGGAUGAAACACGCUUCCUGAAU
rfam:Schistosoma rodhaini strain Burundi genome assembly, scaffold: SROB_scaffold0001687